AUUGAACGCUGGCGGCAGGCCUAACACAUGCAAGUCGAGCGGAGCGGCGGACGGGCGAGUAAUGCCUAGGACUCUGCCUGGUAGUGGGGGAUAACGUCCGGAAACGGGCGCUAAUACCGCAUACUAUCAGAUGAGCCUAGGUCGGAUUAGCUAGUUGGUGGGGGAAAGGCCUACCAAGGCGACGAUCCGUAACUGGGCUGAGAGGAUGAUAGGUCACACGGGAACUGAGACACGGUCCAGACUCCGACGGUAGGCAGCAGGGGGGAAUAUUGGACAAUGGGCGAAAGCCUGAGACAGUCAUGACGCGUGUGUGAAGAAGGUCUUCGGAUUGUAAAGCACGUUAAGUUGGGAGGCGUUACCAACAGAAUAAGCACCGGCUAACUUCGUGCCAGCAGCCGCGGUAAUUC
rnacentral:rRNA from 1 species